rnacentral:misc_RNA from 1 species
GGGGCGUACAAGUAUAACAACCAAUUGUGGAGCGUGAUGUCAGCUCCACCCACUAGGUCGAUGGGCAUGGCUGUGUGUAUCCAAAAGUCAGUGGACCGCAACAGUGUCUCCAAAGGCAGUCUCUUUAUGAGCCAUCUGAAGCCUUGGAUUUGUUUCUUCCACAUGGGUUCUCAAUAAUAAAUCUUUUUCGUUGAUUCUCGCACAAUCUUUUUUAAUCGAUUUCUGACUCCAAAGCAUACAUUUCACUACAAAAAGACAACUCAGAUUCUCUACAGCAGACAAAACCCAUUACGCCAAGCAAGCCUAAGCCACCUUAUCNUUAUCAUCUUCUUCUUGUUUUGUUUUUAUCUAUGGAGAGAGAGAGAAUCUAAUUCUUUUCUGG